UACGUAGGGGGCUAGCGUUGUCCGGAUUUAUUGGGCGUAAAGAGCGUGUAGGCGGCCAGGUAGGUCUGCUGUGAAAACUCGAGGCUCAACCUCGAGACGUCGGCGGAAACCAUCUGGCUAGAGUCCGGAAGAGGAGAGUGGAAUUCCUGGUGUAGCGGUGAAAUGCGCAGAUAUCUGGAGGAACACCGGUGGCGAAGGCGACAUCCUGGACCGGUAUUGACGCUGAGGCGCGAAAGCCAGGGGAGCAAACAGG
rnacentral:rRNA from 1 species